AGCAGCAGCCGCGGGAAUACGGAGGGUGCAAGCGUUAAUCGGAAUUACUGGGCGUAAAGCGUGCGUAGGCGGUUCGUUAAGUCUGUUGUGAAAGCCCCGGGCUCAACCUGGGAAUGGCAAUGGAUACUGGCGAGCUAGAGUGUGUCAGAGGAUGGUAGAAUUCCAGGUGUAGCGGUGAAAUGCGUAGAGAUCUGGAGGAAUACCGAUGGCGAAGGCAGCCAUCUGGCCUAAUACUGACGCUGAGGUACGAAAGCAUGGGGAGCAAACAGGAUUAGAUACCCGUGUAGUCCCUGUCUCUUAUAC
rnacentral:rRNA from 1 species